CUCAAUUUGCUCACUUUGCCCAAGUAAUGCUUCCACUGCGCCACUCAGCUUCUGCUCGGGCAAGGUUUCCAAUUCCUGGCACUUGAUCUGAAACCUGCAGGGCUCGAGAAACGAGGACAGGCGUGGAGGAGGACUGCCAUUUCAGAAGUAUCAAAGAUGGCUGUCUUGGGCCAGACUUGUGAAUGGGCACGGUAAACCUGGAAGCAGGACUUGUGAAAGCAGUGGACAUCAGCAAGCGGUCAGGGACGGGGAGAGCAAGCAGAAAGAGAAUGCCACUUCAGAGCUUGCUGGUGAACAUACACGAGACAUUCUCUUAGGACAUCCGAGAAUAACUGGCUCUCAUCUGACCUGGGAGCAGAAGUCCUUCAGCAGCAUUUUCUGCCUGGAUUUCUACACGUCCCAAGGACUCAUUUACCCUCACCAGGCCUCAUGUGUCUGCUGACCCCAAAUUCAUAGACAUGGUUGGCAGUGGGACAUGAGAAGGGGAUGCAGAUAAACGAUUUGGAAGUCUUGAACUUGAACUACAUGCAACCACAUCCUCUCUAUUCCACAUGUCAUCACAGGAAACUUCCCUCUCUCUGUGGCUGUGGUUUCUAGCACUGCUGUUCAUAAUGCGUAGGCAGAGUGGUUUAUCUUUUUUGAUUUAUUGGCAAGUUGCUUGCAUCACAUGGAAGCAGCUGAACUCUGUAACUGUGAGCAUUGAAGGGAAGGAAUUUCCAUAAAUGCUGUACGUUUUGCCAACACUGCUUCAGGGGAGGCCCACCCAUGGGUCUUUGAUAUUGCACUUGUGGUCACAAUUCUAUUCUUGUACAAUCUAUUAUGUCCAGAAUGAGGAAAACGACGUAUUUUCUGGUCCACUAAUUCUUGUUAUCUCACCAAAAAUCAAGAGCCUCUCCUGUGCUACACAUUCUUUCCAUUUAGGGUAACCCAUUUCAAGCAGUUCCCAUUAAUAGCUUUUAAGUCCAUUUGGAUAUCUCAGUUUUAACUGAUAGCAGUAUAGGCACACUCUGCAACCUGUUUCUCGGGAUAUUUUUAUUAUAUUUAUUUUUAUUCACGGAGGACUUUUAAAAAAACGUUUGUUUCAUUUAAACAUAGUACUUAUAACUCAUUACUUUUGUAAAUUCUCUGACUGUAUUUGGCUCUUAUUUCACUAUCGUAUCUCUUUAAACACUUAUAUACUGAAUUCGAACAUUUCAGAAGCAUCAUUACAUGUAGGCUAAAUCUGAUUUUUGUUAAAUAUUCAUGAUUUCUGUUGAAGUAUAUUUUAUUUGAUAAGUAUUUGAUACUGUAACAAGAGCACUGGAUUUAAAAGCAAAAGGUUUAGGUUUAAAUUUUUCUCCUGCCGAGAAGUUGGUUAAUUCGUUAUCUGCAUGACUCUCAGUAUAUUAUUUAACCUCUCUGAACUUUGAUCUCAAAGUUCAAUGAGAAUUCACGAGAAUGAAUGAGAAUGGAGUGAGAAGACCAACUUUACAGUUUUCAUACUGUUAGAUGUAAGAAAGUGGCUGACUCAUAAUAAAUACUCAAAGAAAUGUUAGUUGAAUUGUAAACUGCGAGGAAAUAUCUUGUACACAUAGUGAGUAAUAUAAGCACUAUUUUCAAGGAGAAAGUUUAAUCUGCCUAAGUAAGUAAGCAAACACUUUGAAUCACUUAAAGAAACUCAGUUUAUGGCCGAAGCGUUAAUUCACA